rnacentral:rRNA from 1 species
UAGGGAAUCUUCCACAAUGGACGCAAGUCUGAUGGAGCAACGCCGCGUGAGUGAGAAGGGUUUCGGCUCGUAAAGCUCUGUUGUUAAAGAAGAACGUGGGUAAGAGUAACUGUUUACCCAGUGACGGUAUUUAACCAGAAAGCCACGGCUAACUACGUGCCAC